rnacentral:rRNA from 1 species
AACCACGAGGCGCAAUGAAAGUGAAGGCACGGUCGCCGUGCUGAGGUGAGAGCUGUCCACGGCAGCGCAUCAUCGACCGAUCCCAUCCGCACACUCGUGGUGCGGCGGGAUUCGAGUAAGAGCGUACCUGUUGCGACCCGAAAGAUGGUGAACUAUGCCUGAAUAGGGUGAAGCCAGAGGAAACUCUGGUGGAGGCCCGUAGCGAUUCUGACGUGCAAAUCGAUCGUCAAAUUUGGGUAUAGGGGCGAAAGACUAAUCGAACCAUCUAGUAGCUGGUUCCCUCCGAAGUUUCCCUCAGGAUAGCUGUAGCCCGAAGCAGUUUUAUCAGGUAAAGCGAAUGAUUAGAGGUAUCGGGGAAGAAACUUCCUCGACCUAUUCUCAAACUUUAAAUAGGUAAGAAGUCCGACUUGCUCAAUUUGAAGCCGGACGCAGAAUGCUGGGUUACUAGUGGGCCAUUUUUGGUAAGCAGAACUGGCGAUGCGGGAUGAACCGAACGCCGAGUUAAGGUGCCAAAGUCGACGCUCAUCAGAUCCCACAAA